rnacentral:rRNA from 1 species
UACAGAGGGUGCGAGCGUUGUCCGGAAUCACUGGGCGUAAAGGGCGCGUAGGUGGUGGCUUAAGCGUGCGGUGAAAGCUCGGGGCUCAACCCCGAGUCGGCCGUGCGAACUGGGCUCACUGGAGCAUAGUAGAGGCAGGUGGAAUUCCGGGUGUAGCGGUGGAAUGCGUAGAGAUCCGGAAGAACACCGGUGGCGAAGGCGGCCUGCUGGGCUAUGGCUGACACUGAGAAGCGAAAGCAUGGGGAGCGAACAGG